CAUGGCUCACGGGCCCAGCCGCUCCACGGCAUGUGGGAUCUUCCCAGACCGGGGCACGAACCCGUGUCCCCUGAAUCAGCAGUCGGACUCUCAACCACUGCGCCACCAGGGAAGCCCUCUUGUCUUUUUGAUAAGAGCUGGUGUGAGAAUGAACCUAGUGAUCGAGAAGAUGGUCUCAACAAAAGACAUCAUGUGACAGACUCUGAGAACGAUGACCCCUCAAAUCUUAAUGCCAGUGACUCUGAAAGUGAGGAGCUUCAAAGGCAAAAGGACAGCGACUCUGAAUUUGAGGGGCAUGCAGAGCCUCCUGCGAGUGAUUCUGAAAACGAGGAUGCCAAUCACCAUGGGAGCGACUCUGAGAAUGAGGAGCCCAGGAAGUUACCUGUGAGCGACUCUGAAAACGAGGAGCUGCUUAAUGGGCACGCAAGCGACUCCGAAAAUGAGGAUGUUAGGAAGCCCCCUGCCAGCGAUUCAGAGGUCGAAGAGCUCCCCAAAAGUCCUGCCAGUUACUCGGAAACAGAGGAUGCUCUAAAACCCCAAGUCAGUGACUCUGAGAGCGAGGAGCCCCCAAGACACCCAGCCAGUGACUCGGAAAAUGAGGAGCUUCCCAAGCCUCGAGUUAGUGACUCUGAAAGUGAGGAGCUGCCCAAGCCUCGGAUCAGUGACUCAGAAAGCGAGGACCCGCCAAGGCAGCAAGCCAGCGACUCGGAAAAUGAAGAGCUUCCCAAACCCCGUAUCAGUGAUUCGGAAAGUGAGGACCCCCCAAGGCACCAAGCCAGUGACUCGGAAAAUGAGGAGCUUCCCAAACCCCGAAUUAGCGAUUCGGAAAGCGAGGACCCGCCAAGGCACCACGCCAGUGAUUCUGAAAAUGAGGAGCUUCCCAAGCCCCAAGCCAGUGACUCUGAGAGCGAGGAGCCUCAGAAGGGGCCUGCCAGCGAUUCAGAAGCCGAGGCUGCCCCCAGACACAGACAGAAGCCGGAGUCUGAUGAGGACAGUGACGGGGAGAAUAAGAGAGAGGACACAGAAAUGCAGGCUGACCCCUUUCAUUCAGAUGCCCAUGUAGACAGGAAGCAGUUCAACAGUUCUGACAGCGAGGAGGAAGAACCAAAAAGGCCCAAAAUUGACAGCGAUGAGGAUGAAGAAAAAGAGGGGGUGGAGGAGAAAGUAGCGAAGCGGAAAGCUGCUGUGCUUUCUGAUAGUGACGAUGAAGAGAAAGCAUCAGCAAAGAAGAGUCGUGUUGUCUCUGAUGCAGAUGACUCUGACAGUGAUGUUAUGUCAGACAAAUCAGGCAAAAGAGAGAAGACGAUAGCAUCUGACAGUGAAGAAGAAGCAGGGAGAGAAUUGUCUGAUAAGAAAAAUGAAGAGAAGGACCUGUUUGGGAGUGAUAGUGAGUCAGGGAAUGAAGAAGAAAAUCUUAUUGCAGACAUAUUUGGAGAAUCUGGUGAUGAGGAGGAGGAAGAAUUUACAGGUUUUAACCAAGAAGAUUUGGAAGAAGAAAAAAGUGAAACGCAGGUAAAAGAAGCAGAAGAUUCAGAUUCUGAUGAUAACAUAAAGAGAGGAAAACACAUGGACUUUCUGUCGGACUUUGAGAUGAUGUUGCAGCGGAAAAAGAGCAUGAGUGGCAAGCGCAGGCGUAACCGUGAUGGUGGUACUUUUAUUAGUGAUGCCGACGACGUUGUGAGCGCCAUGAUUGUCAAGAUGAAUGAAGCUGCUGAGGAAGACAGACAGUUGAAUAAUCAAAAAAAGCCAGCACUGAAAAAAUUAACAUUAUUACCUACUGUGGUCAUGCACCUUAAGAAGCAGGACCUUAAAGAAACAUUUAUUGACAGUGGUGUGAUGUCUGCCAUCAAAGAAUGGCUCUCCCCUCUACCAGAUAGGAGUUUGCCGGCACUAAAGAUUCGAGAAGAGCUGUUGAAGAUUCUGCAAGAGCUACCUAGUGUGAGCCAGGAGACCCUGAAGCAUAGUGGGAUUGGACGAGCAGUGAUGUAUCUUUAUAAACACCCCAAGGAAUCAAGGUCCAACAAGGACAUGGCAGGGAAAUUAAUCAAUGAAUGGUCUCGGCCUAUAUUUGGUCUAACCUCAAACUACAAAGGAAUGACAAGAGAAGAAAGGGAGCAGAGAGACCUAGAACAGAUGCCUCAACGGCGAAGAAUGAACAGCACUGGUGGUCAGACACCCCGAAGAGAUUUGGAAAAGGUGCUGACAGGCGAGGAAAAGGCUCUUAGACCUGGAGAUCCUGGAUUCUGUGCCCGGGCAAGGGUCCCCAUGCCCUCGAACAAGGACUAUGUUGUCAGGCCCAAGUGGAAUGUGGAAAUGGAGUCAUCCAGGGUCUUGCUGUUUUUGCUCAGUGCAAUCACACCUUGAAUAACAAAUGGAGACCUCAGGACACUGACAAAGCUAAAUCCUAAUGAAGAGCCUCAGUGGGUCACAGCCACGUAGGAGCUGAGAUUCAGCCAAACUGGUAAAUGGUUUGAUGACAACCUCCUUCAGACAUCAUAUUCAUUGAUUUUCGUUAGAGCUGAGGACCUGGGGGGGAAGUUUUGUCCACUACUGGGUUUGAUUCUUGAUUGGAUUAAUGGGCUGGAGUGGCCCAGACAGAGGCCCACUUGCAGGGAUUAUGGGAGCCCUGAGAGAAAAGGAUUCACCAUAAGAGAAGGAUCAGGUGACGGAGCAAGCCCGUCUUCCCGAGAAGAUGGAAUGUUGGAGGGAACGUGUAGUUCCAGGUAUGUAUGUCCUGACCCAGUCAAUCUGGAGAUACACCACCCUGAGAAGGCGUAUACUUAUUCCAAAACUGAGCACUUGCCAUUGCUCAAAAUAUUUAACAAACCGCGACAUCAUCUUCAGAGUCUCCUGAGUGUCCAUAAUGGUAAGGAACUGUUCUUUCAAGAAGAGCAGGCUUGGAACAAGAAUGUUAAGUUAUUCAGAGCCACAUCUGCUAAUUGAGGCAGCUGAAUCAAGAUAAUUAUCUUUUGGGUCAAAAACCAUGUGUUCUUGUACCCUUGAGGGUGCACCUGGAGGAGGGCUUCCCGCCAUGCUGCAGGAGUCAUCGCGGCCUCCGGUGGCAGAGCUUCAUUCUCUGCCCACUCACCCCUGCAUGUUUUUUACAUUAUUAUUUGUUUAAUUGGAAAGUAAAAGCUGCCCAUGGUUGAAAAAGAAAACAGUUAACAGUGCAAAGGAUGCAAGUGAAAAUCUCCCUACUACACACAGGCGAUCACGUUUCCACUCCCUUACGUGAGAUAUGUGGUUCUAAAUGGUCCCUUCUAAGAAAGGAAGUGAGGGCCCGGCACCCACACUGCUGUCACCUUUCUCUCCCACUCACCACGCUCCUAAUGGAGUGCUCCUGCGGGUAAGACUUUUAGCACUUCGCUCCACAGAGUGGCACAGAUAAUCAAGAAACGCCCAAGGCAGGCCUUUGGGACUCCCCAGAUUCUUAAACACCACCAUAGCAGGGAAUUGCCACUGCUCUGUACCCUGAAAUUUUUCUUCUCCAGCUCUCUCACAUCAGAUCAUUUUCUGGUCACGUCUACAGCCAGCACUAAUGGUUGGACUUCUUUUGGAGGAAGGUAGAGACAGAGGGAGGAAGGGAGGGGGAGAGAGAUGAGAGAGAAGAAAAAUGGGGGGGUGGCAGAAAGAGGAGAGGGGAAGUGGGGGACAGGACUUUUCACUCAUGGCUAUCGGGUUGUUAUGAGUUGAACUGUGCUCCCUUCAAAUUCAUAUGUUGAAGGUCUAACCCCCAGUACCUCAGAAUGUGACCUUCUUUGGAAAUAGGGUCAUUGUAGAUGACCAGUAAUUAGUUAAGUUAGGAUGAGGCCCUACAGAAGUAGGUGGGUCCCUAAUCCAGUCUGACUGGUAUCCUUAUAAAAAGGGAAAUUUGGAAACAGACCCACGGGGAGAACACCAUGUCAAGAGGAAGACGGAAAUCAGGGCGAUGCUUCCACAAGCCAAGGAGUGCCAGAGAUCGCCAGCAAAGCAUCACAAACCAGUCCUAGAAUCAGACAUUUCUCUGGGGAUCCCUGGUUCCUUUUAUUGGAGAAUAGUAUCGGAAACCAAGAUCUGGGCACUAGUCAUGCUCGUUGCUACUGCGGUGUUGCUGCGUCUAGGCCCUCCCAGCAAGAGCUGAGACAGAGCAAGGAUAUAAAUGUGUGUAUACCACCCCAUGUAUAUAACCACGUCUCUAAACAUUUCUCUGUGUAACCACCUGUAUCUGUGUUAAGCUAAACAUGAAUUCGUACUGAUGUUUUCAACUCGAAUCUAUUACCUUAUGGAUUAUUCUAGCCUCCUUCCCUUCCUUAUCUGUAAGCUGCCACUCUAACAGGGAGAAUCCUGGCUUCCACUCUCUGCCAUCAGAAUUGCUAACCCAUACACCUAAGAGAAACAACGUUAUCAACUCAAGUUCAGUUGUUAUAUGCAGUUAUUUUUCCCUUUAGUCUUACAGACUCCACUCAUUUCCAGGGUUACUUAGGUCAGCACCUUUACCCCAACCCCCUUAAGUGAGGCUGUUUCGUGUAUUUGUGAUACAUGAGAUUUUUUUUUUUGUCACAGUCUGCAUUUCAUUGUAGGAUUUCCCCAAACUUCUAAAUGAUUUUUGAAAUUUGCAUAUAUUAAGGUUCACUUUUUAUACUGAACUUCUGUGGGUUUUGACAAAUGAAUAAUAUCAUGUAUCCAUCAUUACAGUAUAUAGAGUAGUUUCACAGCCCCGCCCCCCGCAAAACCUUCUGUUUCACCCAUUCAACCUCUUUUUUCCCCCUAAACCCUUGGCAACCACUGACUUUUUACUGUCUCUACAGUUUUACCUUUUCCGGAAUAUCAUAUGGUUGGACUUAUACAUUAAGUACCAUUUUCAGACGGGCUUAUUUCAAUUAGCACUAUGCAUUUAAAGUUCAUCCUUGUCUUUCGGUGGCUUGAUAGCUCGUUUGAAAAAUAAUAUUCCAUUUAUGCACAUAGCACAAUUUGUUUAUCUGCUCAGCUAUUGAAGGACAUCUUUGCUAUUUAUACUUUUUGGCAAUUAGCAAAAAGGCUGCUAUAAACCUAUCUGUGUAGGCUUUGUUUGGAAAUAAGUUUUCAAAUUAGUCGGCUAAAUAUCUAGGCACACAAUUGCUGGAUCAUGUGUUGAGGCUAUGUUUAGCAGUGUAAGAACUGCCAAUCUAUCUUCCAAAGUGGCUGUAGUAUUUUGAUUUCCCACCAGCAAUGACUAAAAUUUCCCGUUGCUCCACAAUCUUGACAUUUAGUGUGGUCAGUGCUUUGGAUUCCAGCUUCUCUAACAAGCUUGUAGUGGUAUCUCCUUGUUGUUUUAAUUUGAAAUUCCCUAGUGGCAUAUGAUGUUGGGCAUCUUUUCAUAUGCUUAUUUGCCACCUGUACAUCCUCUUUGGUCAGUUGUCUGUUUAGAUCUUUUGCCCAUUUUAAAAUCGGGUCUCUGAUUUUUUUAUUACAUUUUUUCUUGUUUAAGGAUAUAAUUUUCAAAAAAAAUCUCUUUAAGGAAAUUAAAUUUUUCUUGUACAGUU